GAGGGUAUAUCUCAGUGGUAGAGCGUGUGCUUAGCAUGCACGAGGUCCUGGGUUCAAUCCCUAGCACCUCCA
rnacentral:tRNA from 1 species